CUUGGAGGAGCGUGCUCUUCCAGCACGUGAAAGUGGCCCUUUUCAAUAGCCAAUAGGAAGAAGCUACCAUGCCCUAGCCAAUCAGAGGCGGGAGCAGCUGGUGCGAGAUGAUUUUUAAGGGAAUUUCUGCAGGACACUUAUCAAAAGAAGCAGGCUUUUCAUCUUCAUCUCUGUCACAGAAGGCAGAAGAAGUGGUACCACUAUGCAGAAUAAGGACAACUGAGUUCUCUAUGCAAAAUUAUACUUACAAGGAAGCCAGAAGUACUGUCCAACAAGCACCGAACUCGACAGAUGAAACAACGAGUUAAGAAGGAAGAAUAAUCUGUUGUCAUGCUGUCAUUCUCUUGUGCUUUAAACAAUUUACUGAGAAUAUAUUCUUCUCCUAUAAACAACAGUGGAGGCAAUAUAUGUCAGAUCACACUAAAAAAGAAUGAAAAUUUACUGUACCUACUUGAACAAAUUGUUAUGGGAAUUGCUAAAUAUUAUUUUAUGGACGGGUGAAUAUUAAAUUAAAUGAUGUAAACAAACCUGCACAUGCUCUACCAAAAGAAAAAAGGAAGGCUCUAUAAUAAGAUUCAGGUGAGUUUCUUCAGGAACUUUGACUUUUUUAUUUCCUGAAUUUUUGUGAUUUUUAAUGGUGCAAAACAGAGUAACAGAUGUUACUGCUUCUGAGAUCAGAGAUAAUACAUUAGAAAAAGGAACAAAAUAAGGAAAAAUGCUAAUGCAAGAAAAAAGUUAACGGUGGCUCAUUAGUUAAUGUUCAGCUGUUGCCUCUUUGAUUUUUGAUGAAGCAUUUGCCAGUUUUGGACUACAGGUGCAUAGCUUUCGAAAUACUUAUUUCCCAAAAGACACACCCAAGUACUUGUACAGAAGUAUGAACUCAGAAAAUGAAAUUUUCUGCUAUAUAUAACUUAGGACAAAAAUUCCAAAUGUUUAUAACUUUUUAUAAUUUGAAAUCUUCAUGCACAUUGUUUCAUUUGUUUUCUCUACACUUCCUGCAAAAUUUUGCAAAGUUCUUCAGGUUUCCAUAAGGACUCAUGCAAAACACUCAAGCUGCGAGAGAUUCUACCAAAGUUACACACCUGUGUUCCUCAUGAGUUCAUAAAGGCUACUGAAGGACUUCUUGCAAGUUUUUCCCCCAUCUGGAAAACUAAUUGCUUCCUCACCUUCUGGUGAUCAAUAAUUCUUUAUAAAGUUAACAUUUUCAACCCCAUAGUAUUUUCUGUAGUCAUGAUUCCAGCUUUACGCUUCUUGUACAAAGGAAAAACUUUCUGCACAUGUCCACCUGCCAUCCUAGGAAAAUGCAGCCUCGGGAUAAAAUAUUGCUGAACCAACUUUUUCUUCUGAAGUCUCCUAGCCACAUAACUGUGCAUGGGAAAACAAAUGGCAGAAAGGGAUAUCACUCCUGUUGUAUUGUACAGAAACUUGUUGCAUGGGUUUUUUUCAUGAUUAAAAGAUACUAAUGUCCUGAUCAGUGUGAACAAAAGGUUGGUAGGAUGAACACUGAUGAUGUUCAUUCUGAGCAGAUGAUAAGAAUAUCCAGAGGUACAUUAGAGAAAAAUAAAUAUCAACUUUCAAGCAUCACACCACACACUACCUUUGUAAGUGUCAAGGAUCAGGAAGAAACUUCAUCUAUGGGACAGUAACUUUAUAAAUGGCCACUAUGCAGCUUUCCACUGAAGAUUCUGACUUGAUGUGGAACAGAAAUAGGAGUAGAUGGAGUGCAAGUCUGACUUUGUAUAGUGAUGCCUACCUGUUUCUGUCUGUAAUUGCUGUCCAGAUAACAUCUGGGGAGGGUUCAUGGCCCAGUGUAGUUGUCUACAGAAAUCCUGGCGAUCAUCCACAUGAAUGUAAUCAUAUAUGUUUUGGUGCAUUACAUCAGUCUGAAACAAUUGCAACAAGGAAUGUUUAAUCUGUAAGCUUAGUGGGGCAGAGACUUAUCUUUUGGUUGAUACUUUCCUUAAAAUAAUGGCUGGUGUAGGAUACCUGCAGAGCAAAGACUGCUUGAGGAAAGUUACUUCAGAGGCCCCUGUUUUUCAUGUCUGCUUUUUAUCUUAACAUCCCAAGAUGACUAUUUUUAUCCUUAACUCUUUUAAUGUUUGUGCAUAUGCAAAUGUGAGUAAUAAAAAAGUCCAACCAGCA